UUGAUGUCCAACGCAAUGUAAUGUUAUGCUGCAGAUAUCGCCGUAGUGUACAACACGGGACAAUCGUAUUUGUAUAGUUUUAAUUUUCUUUAUUCGUACUCGGUCAUUUUCGACCCAGUAAUAUAGUUCACUUGGUGCUAGAGAUGUAUUUGCUGUUCAUGGGAGAUUCUCAUAGAGCUCAGUUUGAGACGUAUAUUUAUCAACUGCAAAGAUAUGAUCUGUUUAAUAUUGAUUCGGCAAUUGACGUGAAGUUCUGUGGAAUUAGUGGCGGUUGUUUAACAAACUCGAACCAUGUCCUGUUCUUUCAAGAUUGAUUAGUGAAGCACCAUCCUGACUAUGAUGUCAUGUUCAUUGGUGGUAACGACAUUGAUUAACCAGGCUCUACUGCAAUAAAUGCAGAGACCAUAGCAUCACGAAUUGUUUCAAUUGCUAAACUUUUCUUACGUCGCUACAAUCCGAAACAUAUCUUUAUUUGCCAAUUUAUUCUGAGGCAACACACCCGCCACAUCCCAGUGUACAUAUACAAUGAUUUAAUUAUUACUGAGAGAAGCAAACAGGGUGUUUAAGCAAGAACAUGGAAUAUUUAACGUACUGGAAUUUGAAAGAAAUGAAACAUUCUAAUGCUAACAUUUUACAGAUAGAUGGUGUUCUUUUCAACAACCUAGGAUUUGAAAUUUUUCCGCAAUGUGAGAGGAAUAAUUUUGAAGUGCAUUGCAGAUAUGUAAUUCACACAUGUACUGGAAGAUACUGUAUUCUAAUUGGUGGCACAUUUGUAUCUAUAUUAUCAUAUAACAGUAAGUAUAGACAUAGUAAGUAUAUUAGCCGUCAUAUAUAUCUGAUAUAUGAUAGAACCAAACCCAUAUUGGGUCCAUUUCAGUUAGAUAAACAAGACUUUCUGCAGGCUUAUGAACAUGGCAGAUCUUGUAUAUCACAAAUUUUCUAUCCGUUUGUGGUAAAAGACUAAAUGUAGUUAAAUGGAUUAAUAGAAUUAUAAAGUCUAAACACAUUGUCUGUAUUUGUUUAUAUAGUUUAAAUGUAGUUAAAUGGACUACUAGAAUUAUAAAAUCUAGACAUAUUGUCUGUAUUUGUUUAUAUUCUGUUCCACUAUAUAAAUAAUGGUUACAGACAAGUAAUCUGCAGUCAAAUACACCGCAAGUUGUCAAAUAUACAAAAAAUGAUUGUUUUUGACAGCUGUCUACAUUUAUGUAAUCACAUGGGCUGCAUGGAGUCAAAUGGGCUACUAAGUCUAUGUUACUCAGAUAUUUUGUCCGUAUUGAUGUAGUCAAAUGGACUACAGUGUAGUCAGAUGGACUACUUUGUAUAGUCAGAUGGACUUCUUCGUAUUGUCAAAUGGACUAUAUGUAGUCAUAUGGACUACUUUAUUUAGUCGAUGAAUUAUUUUUACUGUAUGGUUAAACACAAGAUGACUGUCAUACUCUUAAAAUGUUACAAGAAGAAAUUGUUGUAAAUACAGUAUUUCUCGUGGAAGUUGAUCUUUACAUGCUCUGGUAUAUGGUUUUCUAUUUCAUGUGCCACCAAGACAGCGAAGCUGCUGCAGCUGAGGAAGCUGCUAAAACCAAACGAAGAGCAAACCAAAUUGAGAUGGUUUCAGAAGCUAACACAAGUAUAUCAAAUGUUGUUCCUGCUGUCACACAAGGUAUAUUGUAGGUUUUAAAAGACUUGAAGGUACUACCGCCUGACAAUACUCAGAACCAAAACUUCGGAAAAGAACAGAUACCUUUGGAAUCCACACAAAGCACUUCAACAUCUGCUCCAACACCAACUUUGGCAGCUUCAGAAAUGAAUCAAAAUUCUGCCACAUUUUUGCGUCCACUUUUUUCUUGGUAUUGAUGAAAAAAUCAAAGCUAAGAUUGUAUCAGAUCAGUUUGUGGAGUUAGAUUCCUAUAAGAUAAAGGUAAUUAUCAAUAUCAGUUAGUCGAAAAUGGCAGUGAGGAACCCUCGUUCAAAAAAGUUUUAAAUCGUCGACCAGUAUAAAAACGCUAGAUCAAGGGUUUAAUACAUUUCAUAUUUUUACAAGUGUUUACACAGACAGACACCCAACAUCUGCUGCUACUUUAAUGAAACAUUGCGACACAGUUCAUAAACUUGCAAAGCAAUCGGGGGAUUCCGCUGCCAUUAUUUACGAUAGACAAUUUCGUCUCUUAAAAGAAGCUAGAUUGGCUUCGAUUUCGUAUGGGGAAAUCGAUACCCAGUUGUACACACAGGCACUGGCCAUGGGGUUAAUUAAACCAAAACAAAAAUAGUCCUUUCUUGGCGCAAGAUCACAUCAAAACAAACCUUGUUUUGAUUUCAACAACGGGUCUUGUGCCAGAAAAUCGUGCACCUUUCAGCACAGAUGUCAAAAGUGUCCCGGUCCUCAUGGACGAAUUGUAUGUUUUAAAAAGGUGCAAUCAAAUUUCAAGUCAAAGAACUGAUAACGAAACCCUAUGCAUGGUGCCUGCAGUCUUAAAUAAGGCUACUUUUCAUAUUGUUACACCAAUUAAUUCUGAUAACCUACGAUACUGGCUCCAAGGUACGACUUGAAAUUAACUGAAUAUUUGGUGAAUGGUUUCACAAAGGGCUUUAAAAUACCUUUUACAGGUACUCAUUCUAAUAAAUUUCCUGCGAGUUUCAAAUCUGAGACUGAAAAUUUAGAGGGCACAAAAUCACUGUUGAAAUUGAUGCGGGUCGUGUUCAGGGUCCUUUCAAUGAACCACCUUUUAGCAACUUUAUGACCUCACCUCUGGGUGUAGUACCAAAUCAGGAACCCAGUGAAUUUCGUGGAAUACAUCAUUUAUCAUUUCCAGAAGGUCAAUCUGUUAAGGCUGGAAUCCCAUUUGAAUUGUGCUCUGUUCAGUAUCAAAAUAUUGAUGAUACAGUAGAUCUUCUGAAAACUAUUGGACCUGGUGCGCUUCUGUCAAAAUUGAUGGCCAAAAUGCAUUUAAAAUAAUUUCAAUUCAGUUGUAGGCUUGGUAAAUAAACAAACAACUCAGGACCUAAGUAGUAUAUGCCUUGUCAGACUAUUAGUUCUAUAAUGUUUGAAAAAUAACUUUUUGUUUUAAGACACGCAUCUUAAAAGCAUUGCAAGGUUAUCAUAAUUUAGUUCCUAAAACAGACACACGUUUGCCAAUUGCAUAACUUAAUACGGUCAAUGGACGUCGUUUGCAAUUCGCAAUUCCUACGUAUACUGCUAACAGUCAUGUAUUUAUUGACAUUUCAUGUUUCCUUCGAGUUGGAGAAUUUACUUCUCCCUCUCCUGACUCGUAUAUUAUAGUAGUAGAACAUGUAUAUAUAACAUUCAAUCGACUUGGUUUUGAAAAGCUAUAAAUAUAGUCGAGGCAAGACCCAUAAACUGUAUAUAUCAUGUUAUCACCAUGAAUUAAAUAUGUGCCCAUUGCAUGCAUUGUACUCGUAUUAUACAUUAAGUAACGCCCCUCCUGGCCCACUAUUUUCGUUUUUGAUAAUAAUCCAGUGACAAGAUCUUUCUUUUGUACCAAGCUUCAAAUGUCACUCACUCGGAUAGGUUAUAGUACUGACUUUUACAAAGGUCAUAGUUUCCGCAUUGGUGCGGCAUCGCAGAGAGGUUUCUGGGGAGUUUCAGAAGAAAAUAUCGACCUUUGGGCAGGUGGUUUUCAAACGCUUAUAAAAUGUAUAUUCGCAUUUCUAUGGUAGAACAAUUAGAUGGGGUCAAAGCUCCAACAAUAUAGGUACAUCAUGGUCACAAAUGUGAUGGGGUCAAGGGUCUCUCACCUUGUGAUUAUCAUGUUAACAAGUAUUCUUCAGUUAUCCUCUUAAAACAAAUAUCAGUAUUGGAUUUUAGAAAUCAUACACCUUUGUUUGGGGUGGAUGACUUUUAUCAAGUUAAUAUCUAGUUUUCUUAUGUUUGUAAUUCUUAUUGCUAAUGGUGCGAUGGGGUCAUGGGUCUCUCGCACUUAAGUUAUCAUGUUACAUGUACAUAAAGUUUAUUAGUAGGCAAUUUUGCAUGUUGUUAUGAGUUACUGAUAUUUUUCUUGUGUGAUGGUGCCAAGGGAUGCUUACCUCUAUUUUGUCAUGUCAAAUAUACAUGUACCAUUUUCUACAAUUUCUGCAUGUUAGAGGGUGUAACACUUUAACAAGUAUUCUUCUGUUAUCCUCUUAAGACAAAUAUCAGUAUUGGAUUUUAGAAAUCAUACACCUUUGUUUGGGGUGGAUGAUUUUUAUCAAGUAAAUAUUUAGUUUUUUUAUGUUUAUAAUUCUUAUUGCUAAUGGUGCGAUGGGGUCAUGGGUCUCUCGCACUUAAGUUAUCAUGUUACAUGAACAUAAAGUUGAUAUUUUGCUUGAGUGAUGGUGCAAAGGGUUGCUCACCUCUAUUUUGUCAUGUUACAUAUACCAUUUUCUACAAUUUCUGCUUUUUAGAAGGUGUAACACAUGAGUAAGCUGUUGAUAAAUAAAUGAUACACUCACUUUCUUCGGAUGGGGUUAUUGCUAAUAACUUAAUAAACGAAAUCCAUUUAUUAUGUUUUUGCAAUAUGUGGCAUAAAGGUUAGAUCCCCACCUUUGAUGAUGCAUAUCAACUGUUAAUAUUUGUCUUUUCUUGAUAAAAUUAGUCACCUAUCACAUAUUAUGUAUGAUGCUGUAACAGAACCAUUUAUUGUUAAUUGUGUUUUCAAAUUCGUCAUUUAGAUAUUAAAUGACAGAUUUCAAUCAAA